AUGACGACAACGACUAUGUAUCUCUGCUCCUAGAAUGUUAGGGGCUUGGGUGAUGUGGACAAAUGUAAUGAUGUUCUAUCUGAACUUCUAUCUAUCAAAACUCAUAUGUUGUUACUCCAGGAAACUAAACUUGCCACACCCUCUGUCCCAAAAAUUCGGUCUUUUCUGCCAACUUUCCUCGAUUUCUAUGCCAUCUCAACAGAUUCGGGCACCGCUGGGGGCCUGCUAUCCGCUGCCAACACCAGCUCCCUUCACAACACAAACCACAUAAACCAUGGUUUCUGCUCCACUACCUCCCUCACAUCUCUCGCUCUCCCUUCCCCCAUUUGCGUCACAAACAUUUACAGCCCAACUAGCAGGGCGCAAAAACCACUUUUCCUUGCGGAAUUAAAAGCCAUAGCCCCCUAUGAGAACACCCCGUGGCUAGUUGUAGGUGAUUUUAACAUGAUUCGCUUCCCCCAUGAGAAAAACAAUCCCAACUUUCACCAACGAGAAUCCCACUUGCUCAAUGACACGAUUGAUGAGUUAGCUCUCCUAGAGCUGCCUCUCCUAGAUCGGCAAUUUACUUGGUCCAACAACAGAGAAGCCCCUGUCCUCGAACGGCUUGAUCGCGCUUUCUUUAAUUUAGCUUGGAAUCAUGCCUUCCCAAACACCUCCUUAUCCUCUCUCACUCAGGCCAUCUCGGAUCAUGUGCCACUAAUCAUCUCCAUAUCCACGUCCGUACCCCGCUCCCGCCUCUUUCGGUUCGAAUGA
rnacentral:rRNA from 1 species